GAUGAACGCUAGCUACAGGCUUAACACAUGCAAGUCGAGGGGCAGCAUGGUCUUAGCUUGCUAAGGCCGAUGGCGACCGGCGCGCGGGUGAGUAACACGUAUCCAACCUGCCGUCUACUCUUGGACAGCCUUCUGAAAGGAAGAUUAAUACAAGAUGGCAUCAUGAGUUCACAUGUUCACAUGAUUAAAGGUAUUCCGGUAGACGAUGGGGAUGCGUUCCAUUAGAUAGUAGGCGGGGUAACGGCCCACCUAGUCUUCGAUGGAUAGGGGUUCUGAGAGGAAGGUCCCCCACAUUGGAACUGAGACACGGUCCAAACUCCUACGGGAGGCAGCAGUGAGGAAUAUUGGUCAAUGGGCGAGAGCCUGAACCAGCCAAGUAGCGUGAAGGAUGACUGCCCUAUGGGUUGUAAACUUCUUUUAUAAAGGAAUAAAGUCGGGUAUGUAUACCCGUUUGCAUGUACUUUAUGAAUAAGGAUCGGCUAACUCCGUG
rnacentral:rRNA from 1 species